rnacentral:rRNA from 1 species
UUAAGCCAUGCAUGUCUAAGUAUAAGCAAUUAUACAGCGAAACUGCGAAUGGCUCAUUAUAUAAGUUAUCGUUUAUUUGAUAGUACCUUACUACUUGGAUAACCGUGGUAAUUCUAGAGCUAAUACAUGCUAAAAAUCCCGACUUCGGAAGGGAUGUAUUUAUUAGAUUAAAAACCAAUGCCCUCUGGGCUCCUUGGUGAUUCAUAAUAACUUUUCGAAUCGCACGGCCUUGCGCCGGCGAUGGUUCAUUCAAAUUUCUUCCCUAUCAACUUUCGAUGUUUGGGUCUUGGCCAAACAUGGUCGCAACGGGUAACGGAGGGUUAGGGCUCGACCCCGGAGAAGGAGCCUGAGAAACGGCUACUACAUCCAAGGAAGGCAGCAGGCGCGCAAAUUACCCAAUCCCGAUUCGGGGAGGUAGUGACAAUAAAUACUGAUACAGGGCUCUUUUGGGUCUUGUAAUUGGAAUGAGUACAAUUUAAAUCUCUUAACGAGGAACAAUUGGAGGGCAAGUCUGGUGCCAGCAGCCGCGGUAAUUCCAGCUCCAAUAGCGUAUAUUAAAGUUGUUGUGGUUAAAAAGCUCGUAGUUGAACCUUGGGCCUGGCUGGCCGGUCCGCCUCACCGCGUGCACUGGUCCGGCCGGGCCUUUCCCUCUGUGGAACCCCAUGCUCUUCACUGAGUGUGGCGGUGAAACAGGACUUUUACUUUGAAAAAAUUAGAGUGCUCCAGGCAGGCCUAUGCUCGAAUACAUUAGCAUGGAAUAAUAAAAUAGGACGCGUGGUUCUAUUUUGUUGGUUUCUAGGACCGCCGUAAUGAUUAAUAGGGACAGUCGGGGGCAUCAGUAUUCAAUUGUCAGAGGUGAAAUUCUUGGAUUUAUUGAAGACUAACUACUGCGAAAGCAUUUGCCAAGGAUGUUUUCAUUAAUCAGGAACGAAAGUUAGGG